UGUUUGGCCUCGCUAAGUGGGACUGAACUAGACUGGAUUAAGUAUUUAGUGUAAUCCCAUGUUUGGUAGGUAGAGGGACUGAGUUUAAUGGGAUAAACCCGGACUCGCCCAGACAAAGUCCUUCGCUAAGAGUUCUUCGCGAGGACCCCCAAUUUUCACGGUACUACUAAGCCCAGAGAAAGAGAAAUUUGUCGCUCGUCUGUGAGAGAAGACGUCCUACUCCUUCGCACUCGUCAUCCUCACCGUCCUCUGCGUUCUGCUCCCCGUCCUCUGCGUUCUGCUCGCCGUCCUUUGCUCCUCGUCAGCAUAUUCAAAUCCUUGCAAUUGGACCGGAGUUCGUUGUUCUGAUUUCAAGGCAUGGAAUUUAUACACAGAAGGCAAGUCCAUUGAAAUGCUCGAUACAUCAGUAGGAGACUCCAGUAAUCCACAUGAAGUUUUGCAGUCAAUCCAUGUGGGUUUUUUAUGUGUGCAGCGAAAUCCGGCAGAUAGGCCAAGCAUACCAGCUGCAGUUCUGAUCUUCAGUGGUGUGGAUUGCCUGAACCUGAAAAAUCUGGUUUUUACAGUGAAAAGGAUCUAGAUGACAACAAAGUCGAUCCUUGUGCAAACAAGGUUACAGCUUUUUCAUCUGACGAAGACACUUUUACCCUACUCAAGGCUUGAUAGUUGAUAUUUCAUGUUGCUGUUUAUUUCAUCAUAACUUGAUCUGAUGUCUAUUGAAGUGAGUCAA